rnacentral:rRNA from 1 species
AAGGGUCCGUAAAACGGUAAAUUAAGCGAAUACCUCACCUAUUCGGGGAGGUAGUAUAAUCGAACUGAUUUACUAGAGUCUUAUAGAAGAACAGAGGAAUUGCAAGAGUAAGGAUGAAAUCUAUUGAUACUUGUAGGACCGCCAAAGGCGAAGGCAUCGUUCUAGGUAAAGACUGACGUUGAGGGACGUAGGCGUUGGGAGCGAAAAGGAUUAGAUACCCCUGUAGUCAACGCUGUAAACGAUGAGUGCUUAAGAUUAGUAAUAAUUAUUAACAAGUUAUUAGGCUUUAAUACCGUUAACUAUUAAAAAAAAAAAUUAGUCUCGAAAUGAAGAUGUUAAGCACUUCACCUGGGGAGUACUGUCGCAAGGCUGAAACCCAAAACAUUAGACGGUCACGGAAACCAGCAGUGAAGCAUGUUAUUUAAUACGAUGAUCCGCGUACAACCUUACCACUUCUUGAAUGUCCUUUUCUGUAAAAAGAAAAGGCCUAUUUAAUUAAAAAACUUUAAUUAAAUUUGGAUAAAUACAACAGGCGUUGCAUGGCUGUCUUCAGUUCGUGUCGUGAGAUGUCAGGUUCAUUCCGGUCAACGAAUGAAACCCUUCUUUCUUAAUUUUGCUCUUUUUUUUAUUAAUUUAAAUUAAAUUUAUUAAGAUGACCCUUGGAAAACGAGGAUAUAAUGGGGAUUAAGACAAGUCGUCAUGGCCUUUAUGAAGUGGGCUAUAGACGUGCCACAAAAGCUUUUACAAUAGGAUGCUAAGACGUGAGUCAGCGCUAAACCUUAAAAAAAGCUAUGUUCGGAUUGUAGUCUGCAACUCGACUACAUGAAGCAGGAAUUGCUAGUAAUCGUAA